rnacentral:rRNA from 1 species
GACGAACGCUGGCGGCGUGCCUAAUACAUGCAAGUUGAGCGAUGAAGCUUGGUGCUUGCACCAAUUUGAAGAGCAGCGAACGGGUGAGUAACGCGUGGGGAAUCUGCCUUUGAGCGGGGGACAACAUUUGGAAACGAAUGCUAAUACCGCAUAACAACUUUAAACAUAAGUUUUAAGUUUGAAAGAUGCAAUUGCAUCACUCAAAGAUGAUCCCGCGUUGUAUUAGCUAGUUGGUGAGGUAAAGGCUCACCAAGGCGAUGAUACAUAGCCGACCUGAGAGGGUGAUCGGCCACAUUGGGACUGAGACACGGCCCAAACUCCUACGGGAGGCAGCAGUAGGGAAUCUUCGGCAAUGGACGAAAGUCUGACCGAGCAACGCCGCGUGAGUGCAGAAGGGUUUCGGAUCGUAAAAAUCGGUUGGUAGAGAAGAACGUUGGUGAGAGUGGAAAGCUCAUCAAGUGACGGUAACUACCCAGAAAGGGACGGCUAACUACGUG